UACGGGAACGCUGAAAACCGAAUAGAGUAGGCA
rnacentral:ncRNA from 1 species